rnacentral:rRNA from 1 species
CCUACGGGAUGCAGCAGUGGGGAAUAUUGCACAAUGGGCGCAAGCCUGAUGCAGCCAUGCCGCGUGUAUGAAGAAGGCCUUCGGGUUGUAAAGUACUUUCAGCGGGAAGGAAGGUGUUGUGGUUAAUAGCCACAACAAUAGACGUUACCCGCAGAAGAAGCACCGGCUAACUCCGUGCCAGCAGCCGCGGUAAUACGGAGGGUGCAAGCGUUAAUCGGAAUUACUGGGCGUAAAGCGCACGCAGGCGGUCUGUCAAGUCGGAUGUGAAAUCCCCGGGCUCAACCUGGGAACUGCAUUCGAAACUUGCAGGCUAGAGUCUUGUAGAGGGGGGGUAGAAUUCCAGGUGUAGCGGUGAAAUGCGUAGAGAUCUGGAGGAAUACCGGUGGCGAAGGCGGCCCCCUGGACAAAGACUGACGCUCAGGUGCGAAAGCGUGGGGAGCAAACAGGAUUAGAUACCCGCGUAGUC